rnacentral:rRNA from 1 species
AGUGAACGCUGGCGGUAGGCCUAACACAUGCCAGUCGAACGGCAGCACAGUAAGAGCUUGCUCUUACGGGUGGCGAGUGGCGGACGGGUGAGGAAUACAUCGGAAUCUACUUUUUCGUGGGGGAUAACGUAGGGAAACUCACGCUAAUACCGCAUACGACCUACGGGUGAAAGCAGGGGAUCUUUGGACCUUGCGCGAUUGAAUGAGCCGAUGUCGGAUUGGCUAGUUGGCGGGGUAAAGGCCCACCAAGGCGACGAUCCGUAGCUGGUCUGAGAGGAUGAUCGGCCACACUGGAACUGAGACACGGUCCAGACUCCUACGGGAGGCAGCAGUGGGGAAUAUUGGACAAUGGGCGCAAGCCUGAUCCAGCCAUACCGCGUGGGUGAAGAAGGCCUUCGGGUUGUAAAGCCCCUUUGUUGGGAAAGAAAAGCAGCAGGUUAAUACCCCGCUGUUCUGACGGUACCCAAAGAAUAAGCACCGGCUAACUUCGUG